rnacentral:rRNA from 1 species
GACGAACGCUGGCGGCGUGCUUAACACAUGCAAGUUGAACGAGAAUUUUUCGAGUGGUUUCUUCGGAAUGAUCAUGAAAAAGGAAAGUAGCGAACGGGUGAGUAACACGUGAGAAACCUGCCUUUCACAAAGGGAUAGCCUCGGGAAACCGGGAUUAAUACCUUAUGAAACCAAACACUCGCAUGAGAGAUUGGUUAAAGAUUUAUCGGUGUUAGAUGGUCUCGCGUCUGAUUAGCUAGUUGGUGGGAUAAAAGCCUACCAAGGCAACGAUCAGUAGCCGGAUUGAGAGGUUGAACGGCCACACUGGAACUGAGACACGGUCCAGACUCCUACGGGAGGCAGCAGUGGGGAAUUUUGCACAAUGGAGGAAACUCUGAUGCAGCGACGCCGCGUGAGUGAUGAAGGUCUUCGGAUUGUAAAACUCUGUCCUUAGUGAAGAUAAUGACAGUAACUAAGAAGCAAGCCCUGGCUAAAUACGUG